AGACCCAGUCUCGCCACAUGGCAUCAUUUCCUCCUCACCUGCAGAAUCGCUGUGACUUAUGGCUCCUCUGAUUGCACCUGCUUUCACCAGCAGCCCUGGAAGAGAGCUCUUCUGCGUGGAUAAGAGUUGAGAGAUCUUGGUUUCAUUACUUGUUUAAAUUGGACUCUCUCAAAUGAAUGUAAGCACAUAAUGGGGGACUACACUAUGAGAUGAAAAGGAAUCCAGCUGUUACCAGAAAUGGGUGCCUGCCAGGUUUAUCCACCAAAUUCUUUCCACUUCAUGUCAUUAAAAUAAAAUUUGAGUUUUAAAAUGAAAA
rnacentral:lncRNA from 1 species